rnacentral:lncRNA from 1 species
UUCAUACUUCUGGAUUAAGGCCAGAGCCUUAGUCUCUUUAACUUGAUUGUUGCCUUUGUGUGUCAUUUUCAAAGAGUCAAAAUGUUCUUUGGAUACUUCCUUGUUGGUUAUCUUCUCGUACUCAUUGUAGGAAAUAGUGUUUAACAUAAUGGUUCUUACUUUAUGGCGAUUCUUGAAAUCACGCUUCUGAUCAUCACUCAUUCUGCUUCUUGGAAUAGAAAUACCAAUUGUAGAAAUGGGUGGUUCAUAACCAUUUAUAACCUUAUCCCAGAGAUCAACAUCGUAGCCUAGGAAGAAACUUUCAGU